rnacentral:misc_RNA from 1 species
UCUUUUUUUUUUUUUUUUGUUAUAAUGUUGUCUCUUUCUCUUGUAGAAAAUUCUAUUGAGCUCUUUCUCUCUGAGAACAUUCUAUUGAGAUUUUCGAUUUUAUUUGGUAAUUUGGUUCUUAGCAUGGGAGGAAAUUUAGAGCAAAAGGACAGUACAUUUUAAUUAUUUUUCUCUCUUUAUUCCAACAAAAUGGAGAAAUGAAACUUACAAACUAUUAUUUUAAUUAUUCCUUUUUUUUUUAAACUCAGUUGAAUUUGUUUAUUUAUUGAAUUUGUUUAUUUAUUGAAUCAUAAUGUAAGGAAAUUUUUAGACUUAAAUUUUGUUUUUGACCUGAUCAAUUAAUAUUGCUUUUUGGUUACACCAAACCUCUUAUCUGCAGUCUGUUACUACCGUGUAUAAGAAACCUUCUUGCUGUCAAAUUUAUUGAAUAAACACUUUAAUUUUUAUAUACUCGAAUGAUGUAAUAAGGGAUUUUUUUUUUUUUUGGGAAAUU